CCGAGACUGAGCCACUGUACUCCAACCUGGGACAGAGCGAGACUCUGCCUCAAGAAAAAAAACCAAGAGUUAAAUUUGCUUGAAUGCAUGGCCAGGCACGGUGGCUCACGCCUGUAAUCCCACACUUUGAGAGGCUGAGCCAAAGUGUCACUUGAAGCCAGGAGUUACAGAUUGGCUUGGGCAACAAAAGAAGACCCCAUUUCUACCAAAUGUUCAAAAAAUAAAUAAUAACUCAUUUCAAAAUACACUAUAAUUAUUUGCAUAACAUUUGCAUUGUAUUGGGUAUUAUAAGUAAUCUAGAGAUGAUUUAAAGUAUAUGGGAGGAUGUGUAGGUGAUAUGCAAAUGCUACACAAUUUUGUCACACACGCCUGUAAUCCCAGCAC
rnacentral:lncRNA from 10 species